rnacentral:rRNA from 1 species
UAAUACUGCAGUCGAGCGAAUGGAUUAAGAGCUUGCUCUUAUGAAGUUAGCGGCGGACGGGUGAGUAACACGUGGGUAACCUGCCCAUAAGACUGGGAUAACUCCGGGAAACCGGGGCUAAUACCGGAUAACAUUUUGAACCGCAUGGUUCGAAAUUGAAAGGCGGCUUCGGCUGUCACUUAUGGAUGGACCCGCGUCGCAUUAGCUAGUUGGUGAGGUAACGGCUCACCAAGGCAACGAUGCGUAGCCGACCUGAGAGGGUGAUCGGCCACACUGGGACUGAGACACGGCCCAGACUCCUACGGGAGGCAGCAGUAGGGAAUCUUCCGCAAUGGACGAAAGUCUGACGGAGCAACGCCGCGUGAGUGAUGAAGGCUUUCGGGUCGUAAAACUCUGUUGUUAGGGAAGAACAAGUGCUAGUUGAAUAAGCUGGCACCUUGACGGUACCUAACCAGAAAGCCACGGCUAACUACGUGCCAGCAGCCGCGGUAAUACGUAGGUGGCAAGCGUUAUCCGGAAUUAUUGGGCGUAAAGCGCGCGCAGGUGGUUUCUUAAGUCUGAUGUGAAAGCCCACGGCUCAACCGUGGAGGGUCAUUGGAAACUGGGAGACUUGAGUGCAGAAGAGGAAAGUGGAAUUCCAUGUGUAGCGGUGAAAUGCGUAGAGAUAUGGAGGAACACCAGUGGCGAAGGCGACUUUCUGGUCUGUAACUGACACUGAGGCGCGAAAGCGUGGGGAGCAAACAGGAUUAGAUACCCUGGUAGUCCACGCCGUAAACGAUGAGUGCUAAGUGUUAGAGGGUUUCCGCCCUUUAGUGCUGAAGUUAACGCAUUAAGCACUCCGCCUGGGGAGUACGGCCGCAAGGCUGAAACUCAAAGGAAAUUGACGGGGGCCCCCACAAGCGGUGGAGCAUGUGGUUUAAUUCGAACCAACGCGAAGAACCUUUACAAGGUCUUGACAUCCUCUGAAAACCCUAGAGAUAGGGCUUCUCCUUCGGGAGCAGAGUGACAGGUGGUGCAUGGUUGUUCGUCCCCUCGUGUCCUGAAAUGUUGGGUUAAGUCCGCCCC